CUUGCUUCUUGUAAUUUUAGCUAAGAUUAAAUGCAGUAUUAGUUCUUAUCAUUUUAAUGAUGAUAUGCCCUUUAUCUGAGAACAAUAUAUUACAUCGGUUUUUGAGCAGGGAAAUGAAAUAGGAGCUGCUCUGACUAUUUUGUUCAUCAACCCCUGAUAUUCCAGAACCUCCUUGAAAGGUAUACUACAA
rfam:Erinaceus europaeus unplaced genomic scaffold scaffold00296, whole genome shotgun sequence